rnacentral:tRNA from 1 species
AAGACGAGCUAAGUUGUUGAAAAAUAAGGGGUUUCAGGCCCCUUUUAAUCCGUUGGUCACAAGUUCGAAUCUUGUACGUCCUACCA